GUGCUGAGUACCACCAACCAACAGGCUCUGUACUGGAGGGAUGGAUAUUACCCAUGCAGUUCCCCUUGUGUACUGCGGAGAGAGAUUAAUCAGACAACGGUGACUUGUGGACAGAUGUGGACUAAGAUAUCCCUUGAUCCCCUUCUGGACAAUGGCCUGUGACAUCAAGGCACCGACCUCUGACCUGUCGGAACUGGCCCGCCAUCCUGGAGUGUGUCGGAGCUGGGAGGAGUGACUCGUCUCAAGGGUGUUGAACCAUGUCUGGAGGGGGGCAGGAAUAAUUCAUUCCGGAGCGGGUCAACAGUGUUAUUGGAGGCGCUGAUGAGCCUGAAGCCACCAGUCCGUUUGCCAUUUACUGUCAUUCCUGCGCCUUCCCAUAUCUAAGACACUGGGUAGUAGGCAAUAGUAGGCUAAUUGCAAUCUAUUUUGCAGGAAAAUGUACAGUGGACACACACAGGGCUUGAAAUUGUUUAAAUAAUGACGAUAUGAUAAACACACAAAUGCACUACGGCUUCAGAGUAUGAGAUUUAGCAGAAAGUUUUCAGGUUAUUUGAAUGUCUGUUCAAGCUCAGGCCUUAUUAACCACGUUACGACCAGCGGAGCUUCAUUCCAUCCUGGGAAGUGUGGUCGUCUGCUUCGUUACCGUCCUCCUCAGCUCUUUAUGAGCCCCACGCUGCUUCCCGUCUCUGCUCCCACAUACACCGGCUCUUCCGCAAUGGCUCCCCAGCCACACGGGCGCGCCACGGACCCAUUCUGCUAACGAUCCCCCAUUUCCAAAGACUAAAAGCCCCAGAAUGAGGCUUGGGUGAGAUGAGUUUCUCAGCGGCAGCGUUUGGUUCGUUUGUUUGCUCCUUCGUUGUCAAUACUGAUGGGUGUUCUGCAGAUGCUGGGCUUGAUCGUGUUGUGCCCAGAUUGCUGUUUUGUAAAUGAUGUAAAUAGAUUUACUGGUGGCUC